AACUCUACAGACAAACUAGGUAGAUUUCACUCAUCCCUAGUUGUCAGGGGUGUCAGGAACUCUACAGACAAACUAGGUAGAUUUCACUCAUCCCUAGUUGUCAGGGAUGUCAGGACCUCUACAGACAAACUAGGUAGAUUUCACUCAUCCCUAGUUGUCAGGGGUGUCAGGACUUCUACAGACAAACUAGGUAGAUUUUACUCAUCCCUGUUGUCAGGAGUGUCAGGGAUGUCAGGACCUCUACAGACAAACUAGGUAGAUUUUACUCAUCCCUAGUUGUCAGGGAUGUCAGGACCUCUACAGACAAACUAGGGAGAUUUUACUCAUCCCUAGUUGUCAGGGAUGUCAGGACCUCUACAGACAAACUAGGUAGAUUUCACUCAUCCCUAGUUGUCAGGGGUGUCAGGACCUCUACAGACAAACUAGGUAGAUUUUACUCAUCCCUAGUUGUCAGGGGUGUCAGGACCUCUACAGACAAACUAGGUAGAUUUUACUCAUCCCUAGUUGUCAGGAGUGUCAGGGAUGUCAGGAACCCUACAGACAAACUAGGUAGAUUUUACUCAUCCCUAGUUGUCAGGGGUGUCAGCAUCUCUAAAAAAAGACUAAUAGAUUUCAUUCAGCAUUAUUUGUGAUAUAAAAAAAAACUUAAGC